GCUGGGCAUAGUCUAUGAGCCUGUAAUCUCUGGCUGGGGAGGCUGAGGCAGGAGAAUCGCCAGAGCCUAGAAGUUCAGACCAGCCUGGACAACUAAGGGAAUACUUACUAUCUUCAAGCAAACCUCCCGGAUCCCAGGCUUUCCGGGUAACAGAAGAGGAGUUCUGGAACAUCAAAGGCUUAACCACAUUCACUUCCUGCAUUGUUCGGAGAUGCUAGAAGAAAUGCUGUCCUUGCCGUGACUGGUGAACUCCAGGCUCAGAACAUUAGAGUCACAGGCCAGAAGAGGGCAUCAGAUCUCAUUACAGAUGGUUGUAAGUCACCAUGUGGGUGCUAGAAAUUGAACUCAGGACCUCUGGAAGAGCAACCAGCGCUCUUAAUCUCCGAGCCAUCUCUCAAGUCUACAAUCUACUGCUUUUUGAGCUAGCAAGUGCUCCACAGUUACUGGCCUGCUUCCCUGGCAGCAGCCCUAUCACUUAUGUCACAGCCUUGGCACAAUUCUGUUCCUGCAGGCAACUGGCUAUGCUGCUGCCACUAAAGAUCAGGAAGCAGAGGACUAGACGGGACGGGCCAUCGCUACCAAACUAAACCCCGAUGACCUGCAUCUUCCAGCAAAGCUCCACCUCCUACAGACUCCUAAAAUAGUAGCACCAGCUGGCGACCAAGCAUUCAACCACGCACAGACCAUGUCAGGGAAGAUGGAGACACCUUCACGGCCUGUUAGUUACACCUCGGCAAAGCUGUCGGACAAGAGAGAAGCCUCCUGUAGCCAUCGUAAAUCAGCAUCCCCAUCUGUGAGGUCAUCGGGAUAUUUCAAACGAUUUUCAGCUCUCAUUAGUCGAGGGCGUUCCACAGGCUGGCCCUUAUCUUUUGUAACUUUUGCUGUCACAGCCUGAGAAAGCCUCUUGGGGGAGUGGCGUGUUCCCUGUGGGCUAGUCGGUCGUAAUGAGCCACCAGCUGAUGUGCCCUUUGUAUAUGUUGAUACUAACCUUUCAUGUUGCAAGAUGUCGCUUUACCCUUGG